GACGAACGCUGGCGGCGUGCCUAAUACAUGCAAGUCGAGCGGACUUGAUGAGAAGCUUGCUUCUCUGAGAGUUAGCGGCGGACGGGUGAGUAACACGUAGGCAACCUGCCUGUAAGACUGGGAUAACUACCGGAAACGGUAGCUAAUACCGGAUAGGUGAUUUUCUCGCAUGAGGAAGUCAAGAAAGACGGAGCAAUCUGCCACUUACGGAUGGGCCUGCGGCGCAUUAGCUAGUUGGUGAGGUAAAGGCUCACCAAGGCGACGAUGCGUAGCCGACCUGAGAGGGUGAACGGCCACACUGGGACUGAGACACGGCCCAGACUCCUACGGGAGGCAGCAGAAGGGAAUCUUCCGCAAUGGACGAAAGUCUGACGGAGCAACGCCGCGUGAGUGAUGAAGGUUUUCGGAUCGUAAAGCUCUGUUGCCAGGGAAGAACGUCUUAGAGAGUAACUGCUCUAAGAGUGACGGUACCUGAGAAGAAAGCCCCGGCUAACUACGUGCCAGCCGCCGCAGUAACAC
rnacentral:rRNA from 1 species